UCACCACACCCCCAGUGCAGGGAAAGGCCGGAAGCUUUGACUGCAUUCUUGGAGUCUUCCCUCACCGCCCACCACACCCCAGUCAGCGGCAGAGACCCCUGGCCUGGUGAGAACUGCAAAGCGAGGUUGUGCUUUGACAUUAGGGGACCCUAAAUGCCUUAAACUACCUGACACAGGCUCUGAUGAUCAGGACCAAAGCAAAGACAUGUAUGAAAUACCAUGUACACGCAGCAGAAAUACUGUGUGUCCGUCUCCAUACUCAGUAGAACAAUACUCACUAUGGCAGUGUCUUCUAUUUUUUUUUCUGGUUCUGUUUUUCUUCAAAGUCAUUUAUAGUGAUGUCUGUGGGGUUCUGACCCAACAAAUCCCCUAGUAUUUGACUCGUGAUCCCCUGCAGUUCUCAGCUCGUUUGCCGUGUUUUACUCUAGGUAGCCAUUUAUUCAAGUCCAGUAGAGAAAAGCAGCAGCAGGCUUUGAGCUUUUUGGGACAACAGCGGCAGUGGGUAGCGGGCUCAGCUGGGAGCCCGAGGCUCAGGGCUGCAGGACUCAUGCAGAAGGAGGACUCAGUGGGGAAGCAGACCCAUGAUGUGAGCACUGCAGAGGUAUCCCAACAGCUGCUCUGGGGACCAGUGGGAAGCAGUCACAGUAAGUUUCUGUAGAGUAGUUUGAGUGCAAACCAGGACUCAAGCAACCUCCUGUUUUGUUUGGAAGCUGUCACCACUCCCUAAUGUGACUAAUUC